CACGGGGGGAGCAAGCGUUGUUCGGAAUCACUGGGCGUAAAGGGCGUGUAGGCGGUCAGGUAAGUGGGAUGUGAAAUGCCCCGGCUCACCCGGGGACCGGCAUCCCAAACUGCUUGGCUUGAGUAUGGGAGAGGAUGAGGGAAUUCCUGGUGUAGCGGUGAAAUGCGUAGAUAUCAGGAGGAACACCGGUGGCGAAGGCGCUCAUCUGGCCCAAUACUGACGCUGAGGCGCGAAAGCUAGGGGAGCAAACGGG
rnacentral:rRNA from 1 species